GGGGUGAGGACAGUGUCUGGUGGGUAGUUUGACUGGGGCGGUCUCCUCCCAAAGAGUAACGGAGGAGCACGAAGGUUAGCUAAUCACGGUCGGACAUCGUGAGGUUAGUGCAAAGGCAUAAGCUAGCUUGACUGCGAGAGUGACGGCUCGAGCAGGUACGAAAGUAGGUCUUAGUGAUCCGGUGGUUCUGAAUGGAAGGGCCAUCGCUCAACGGAUAAAAGGUACUCCGGGGAUAACAGGCUGAUACCGCCCAAGAGUUCAUAUCGACGGCGGUGUUUGGCACCUCGAUGUCGGCUCAUCACAUCCUGGGGCUGAAGUAGGUCCCAAGGGUAUGGCUGUUCGCCAUUUAAAGUGGUACGCGAGCUGGGUUUAGAACGUCGUGAGACAGUUCGGUCCCUAUCUGCCGUGGGCGUUGGAAGAUUGAGAGGGGUUGCUCCUAGUACGAGAGGACCGGAGUGAACGCACCACUGGUGUUCGGGUUGUCAUGCCAAUGGCAUUGCCCGGUAGCUAAGUGCGGAAAAGAUAAGCGCUGAAAGCAUCUAAGCGCGAAACUUGCCUCAAGAUGAGUCUUCCCUGGGCCUUUAAGGCCCCUGAAGGAACGUUUAAGACUAAGACGUUGAUAGGCUGGGUGUGUAAGUGCAGCGAUGCAUUGAGCUAACCAGUACUAAUGAUCCGUGAGGCUUAACCUUACAACACCGAAGGUGUUUUAG
rnacentral:rRNA from 2 species